GGACGCUUGGUCGAGUGGUAAGACGCUCGCACAUAGGCUGAGACAAUCCGGCUACUUGACCGUGCCGUGUAUCGAGUCGGGCUCUGCCAUUGCAAAGGCUGUUGUCGGCUCGGGGUUUCACGACCCUUCAGUCUGUAUCAGACUAGACAAGUCCUGCGAGAGGUGGUGCGUUCGAAUCGCACAGUGUCCA